GACGAACGCUGGCGGCGUGCCUAAUACAUGCAAGUCGAACGAACCGCGACUGAGUGCUUGCACUUGGUCAAGGUGAGUGGCGGACGGGUGAGUAACACGUGGGUAACCUACCUCAUAGUGGGGGAUAACAGUCGGAAACGACUGCUAAUACCGCAUAGGACAUAGGAUCACAUGAUCCAGUGAGGAAAGGUGGCGCAAGCUAUCGCUAAGAGAUGGACCCGCGGUGCAUUAGCUAGUUGGUAGGGUAACGGCCUACCAAGGCGAUGAUGCAUAGCCGACCUGAGAGGGUGAUCGGCCACAUUGGGACUGAGACACGGCCCAAACUCCUACGGGAGGCAGCAGUAGGGAAUCUUCCGCAAUGGACGCAAGUCUGACGGAGCAACGCCGCGUGAGUGAAGAAAGGUCUUCGGAUCGUAAAAGCUCUGUUG
rnacentral:rRNA from 1 species